rnacentral:rRNA from 1 species
GUAAGCCCGGUGCCAGCAGCGGCGUGAAGACUGAGGGGGCAAGGGUGUUCCGGAGUUAUUGGGUUGAAAGGGGCCUUAGGCGGACUUAUAAGUCAGUGGUGAAAGCCUGUCGCUUAACGAUAGAACUGCCAUGGAUACUGUAAGUCUUGAGGAUAUUUGAGGUAGCUGGAAUAAGUAGUGUAGCGGUGAAAUGCAUAGAUAUUACUUAGAACACCAAUUGCGAAGGCAGGUUACCAAGAUAUAACUGACGCUGAGGGACGAAAGCGUGGGGAGCGAACAGGAUUAGAUACCCCAGUAGUC